UACGUAGGUGGCGAGCGAUUUGUCCGGAUUAUUAGGGCGUGAAACGCGCGCUAGGCGGUGGCGCAAGUCUGCUGAUGAAAUCUCCCUGGCUCAACCGGGAGGGGCGGCGGAGACUGCAUGACUGGAGGGAGCCUAGAAGGCCGGUGGAAUUCCGGUGUAGUGGUGAAAUGCGUAGAGAUCGGGAGGAACACCUGUGGCGGAAGGCG
rnacentral:rRNA from 1 species